AGUGGGGAAUAUUGCACAAUGGGCGCAAGCCUGAUGCAGCCAUGCCGCGUGUGUGAAGAAGGCCUUCGGGUUGUAAAGCACUUUCAGUUGUGAGGAAGGUGGUGUCGUUAAUAGCGGCAUCAUUUGACGUUAGCAACAGAAGAAGCACCGGCUAACUCCGUGCCAGCAGCCGCGGUAAUACGGAGGGUGCGAGCGUUAAUCGGAAUUACUGGGCGUAAAGCGCAUGCAGGUGGUUUGUUAAGUCAGAUGUGAAAGCCCGGGGCUCAACCUCGGAACUGCAUUUGAAACUGGCAGACUAGAGUACUGUAGAGGGGGGUAGAAUUUCAGGUGUAGCGGUGAAAUGCGUAGAGAUCUGAAGGAAUACCGGUGGCGAAGGCGGCCCCCUGGACAGAUACUGACACUCAGAUGCGAAAGCGUGGGGAGCAAACAGGAUUAGAUACCCUGGUAGUCCACGCUGUAAACGAUGUCUACUUGGAGGUUGUGGCCUUGAGCCGUGGCUUUCGGAGCUAACGCGUUAAGUAGA
rnacentral:rRNA from 1 species